UUCCUCCGUCCCGGCGCGGGCGCGGCGGCGCGGAGCGCUCUGUCGGGAGUGAGGAGGCGCGGGCGCUGCCCGGGGCCGAGGGGCGCCGAGCCCUGCUCACCGCCGCCUUGAGGGGCCGGGGCACCCCGCCCGGGCCAGCGCGCCUCGAGCCACCGGGGCGACGCUGGGACCGUGGUCAGCAGGGUGCCCUUCCCCGACGGGGACGGAACCCCGACGGCGUCCGGGCCGGAAGGGCGGGCGCCCCGGACCGCGAACCUCCCCGCCGGGCAGUUUAGCAGGAGAGGCCUCCCAGGGCCGUUCACACAGGCCCGCGGUUCGCUUAGCAACUCGCGCAUUUUGGAAAAAGAAGUGUCCCACGCCUCGUCCCAGCGGAGGCGGGGGAGCGCGUGCGCCCUCGCGGGGAGGCCGGGGUGCCCCCCGGCGGCAGCCCCGGACCUGCGGGCCCUGCGACGGCCCCGGGGAGGCUUCGUGUGGCCGCCCCUGCGCGUGCGCGUCACACGGCUCGCGGGUGGCGACCCCCGACGCGCACCGCCCGGGAGACUGUUCUCGCCCUCGAGAGGGAGGACCACGCAGGGCCCUCCGCGUGGAUGCUGCUGUCACGUGUUUGUUGACUCGGGGAGAAUCGGAUGCUGGGCCUGCGAAUGUGUCUCCCUGAGAGGCUCUUUCAGAAAUGCACGGGCGCGGUGCUGAGACACCUGGGAUUGGCUGUCACACGAUGCGCUGAGCGAGGGGACGCACGGGGCCCGCAGCUCGUCGUCCUUGGAGCUGGUGAUGGCCCCACGGCGCUACCCCGUCCUCCUCUUGGACGCAUUUGCGCUUCCCUUUAAAAAGUCUUCAUAACAUUCACACCCAGUUCCGGGGAAAGACUUCGAAAUUUGCUACGGUUCUCCCAGCCGUUAGUCUCGCCCUAUCUUUCUUGAUGCUGAAAAAGUUCUUUAAAAAAACGCAGUCAUCUAGAUCACCCUGCAGAUGAGCUUGGCAUUAAAUUCCCGGGAUCACUAAGCUCUACCCGCUUAGACCCGGGCAGGAGAGGCCCCUGUCCUGGACCCCACGCUUUGAAGGACCUUACAUACCGCAAAUACAUCGAUUUAUUAAAAACACGGGGGCCUCGGCCACUCCUGGUCUGAUGCUGAACCCUGGCCCACAGCCAUAAGUGCCCUCUCCCUGGACCAACACUGUCCCGGCCGCUGGGAAACACUUCUUCAUGUCUCUUGUCCUUUGUCUUCAAAACAAAAGGUGGAACCCGGAAGCAGUGAGGAUCUGUGGGUGGGACAGCUGGCCUGGGCAGACAGAGGCUGCUGUGGAGUCCGGGUGGGAUUUGAGCAGCAAAGCGCUUAAAUAGGGUGAGAGGCAGAGAAGAAGCUCCUAUAAACCUCUCCAGUUUCCUGCUGAUUUCUUCAGGGGGCGGCGUCCUGUGUCAGAGCAGUACUCCUCUGUGCUCAUCUUGCACUUGGCCAAAACAAGGGGUGAAGAAGCUAAGCUCGGUUAAAAGGCAGAAGAGAAACAGGCAGAUCCCUGAAGUCCGCUGUUCUCCUGUUUUCCCCUACCCGAUAGCAGCAUAUUAAAAGCAUAAGCUUCCUGCAAAACUGAAAGAGAAGCCAAAGCUUUGCAGAUGGUACCCAGGCAGAGGGCCAGGAGGUAGAAACAGGCUCAUCAAGCCCCAGAGGGGAGCUAAGUCGCGCCGUCCACACGCUCCAGGUUCAGCGCUGCUGGUGAGGCGCCCCUUCCUUCCUUCUCUCCUGAGAAACCGGGCCUGCCUCCUCCCUGACGGGGCAUCAUUGCUUCCUCCACAACCAGGCGUGCUUGCCCGAGGACUCGCCGACCUCGCUGUCUGUCAGAGAAGCACAAAGACACCUGGUGCAGGUCUGGAAUGAACUUUAUUCAAGGCUGGCAUGCAUUUCGUCACUGCAGAUGACGACGCCUGCUUCCCUGGCAGGGAGGCGGGUUUUGGUGGCCGGAAUCUGCCUCGUGGCAUAGUGGAGGGA
rnacentral:lncRNA from 1 species